rnacentral:misc_RNA from 1 species
GCAGCUCUUCGAAUUCCCAGUCUCAAUUCUCCAUCCUCACCCCUGAGAAAGAGCACAGCAUCUCCAGAGACAAGUUUCUUCUUAUUUACAAAUGCACUCCAUCCAGUAGUGAGCAAAUGCCUCCGUGGUUGCCCACGGUAGAUAUGGCGAAACCUCCACUCAAAGCCAUGGAGAUCCUUUGCUACAAGCUCUUGUGAAGGCCUUUGUUGAGUAUAAUCCAAGGGAGGGAAGCAGUCUUCAGCAGCUCGACGAGGGACAGAAAAGCCUCCAUGGGUGCUAGUAUCAGAUGCGGUAAGGGUUUUGCAGAACAUGUGGGGUGUUGUUGACUUCACAGCUGCUUCCAUAUCCUCCUCUUCACCAUCCCCACCAAUUUUCCCUUCCUUCAACUUCUGCGCAAUUUGCUCACUCUCAGGAACCAGCGAAACCUGUGUAUAGACCUCAUCAUUGGCUUCCUCUGCAUGGAGCUUGACGUCAACAACCCGAUAUGGGAAGGGAGAUCAUAGGCAGCAAGCGGUAAAUCAGGGAGUUGCUCCAAGUGGCCCUG